rnacentral:rRNA from 1 species
CAGCAGCCACGGGAAUACGUAGGGUGCGAGCCUUAAUCGGAAUUACUGGGCGUAAAGCGUGCGCAGGCGGUUGUGUAAGACAGGUGUGAAAUCCCCGGGCUUAACCUGGGAACUGCGCUCGUGACUGCACAGCUAGAGUAUGGCAGAGGGGGGUGGAAUUCCACGUGUAGCAGUGAAAUGCGUAGAGAUGUGGAGGAACACCGAUGGCGAAGGCAGCCCCCUGGGCCAAUACUGACGCUCAUGCACGAAAGCGUGGGGAGCAAACAGGAUUAGAUACCCCGGUAGUCCCUGUCUCUUAUAC